rnacentral:tRNA from 1 species
ACUGGGCUGGCUCAGUUGGUGGAGCGUGCGACUCUCGAUCUCGGGGUUGUGAGUUCGAGCCCCAUGUUGAGUG